rnacentral:tRNA from 1 species
AUUUUCAUAGCUUAAAGUUAAAAGCGUAACACUGAAGAUGUUAAAAUAAGAAUUAUUCUUUGAAAAUA